GUGGGGAAUAUUGGACAAUGGGCGAAAGCCUGAUCCAGCCAUGCCGCGUGUGUGAAGAAGGUCUUCGGAUUGUAAAGCACUUUAAGUUGGGAGGAAGGGCAGUAAGUUAAUACCUUGCUGUUUUGACGUUACCGACAGAAUAAGCACCGGCUAACUUCGUGCCAGCAGCCGCGGUAAUACGAAGGGUGAAAGCGUUAAUCGGAAUUACUGGGCGUAAAGCGCGCGUAGGUGGUUUUGUAAGUUGGAGGUGAAAUCCCCGGGCUCAACCUGGGAACUGCCUCCAAAACUGCAUGACUAGAGUACGGUAGAGGGUAGUGGAAUUUCCUGUGUAGCGGUGAAAUGCGUAGAUAUAGGAAGGAACACCAGUGGCGAAGGCGACUACCUGGACUGAUACUGACACUGAGGUGCGAAAGCGUGGGGAGCAAACAGGAUUAGAUACCCCUGUAGUCC
rnacentral:rRNA from 1 species